rnacentral:SRP_RNA from 1 species
GCUGGGCGUGAUGGUGCACACCUGUAAUCCCAGCUACUCGGGAGGCUGAGGCAGGAGAAUCACUUGAACCUGGGAGAUGGAGGUUUCAGUGAGCCGAGAUCACGCCAUUGCACUCCAGCCUGGGCAACAGAGACAGUCUUUUUUUUUUUUUUUUUGGCGGGGGGGACAGAGUUUUGCUCUUGUUGCCCAGGCUGGAGUGCAAUGACGCGAUCUUGGCUCACUGCAACCUCCGCCUCCCUGGUUCAAGUGAUUCUCCUGUCUUAG